rnacentral:tRNA from 1 species
AGUUAAUAAGCUAUACAAGCAUGUGUUUUGAAAACACAAAAGUAGAAGUUCAAACCUUCUAUUAACUU